GACGAACGCUGGCGGCGUGCUUAACACAUGCAAGUCGAACGAAGUGGCGAACGGGUGAGUAACGCGUAAUCAACCUGCCCUUCAAAGGGGGACAACAGUUGGAAACGACUGCUAAUACCGCAAACUGAAGGAGGGGAUGGCGUGUGAUUAGCUCGUUGGGGGGGUAACGGCCCACCAAGGCGAUGAUCAGUCGCCGGUCUGAGAGGAUGACCCGCCACACUGGGACUGAGACACGGCCCAGACUCCUACGGGAGGCAGCAGUGGGGAAUUUUGGACAAUGGGCGCAAGCCUGAUCCAGCCAUGCCGCGUGUCUGAAGAAGGCCUUCGGGUUGUAAAGGACUUUUGGCAGGGAAGCGGUACCUGCAGAAUAAGCACCGGCUAACUACGUGCCAGCAGCCGCGGUAAUUC
rnacentral:rRNA from 1 species